CCUACGGGAGGCAGCAGUGGGGAAUAUUGCACAAUGGGGGAAACCCUGAUGCAGCGACGCCGCGUGAGUGAAGAAGUAUUUCGGUACGUAAAGCUCUAUCAGCAGGGAAGAAAAAAAGUCCUUUGGACUUUGGACGGUACCUGACCAAGAAGCACCGGCUAACUACGUGCCAGCAGCCGCGGUAAUACGUAGGGGGCAAGCGUUAUCCGGAUUUACUGGGUGUAAAGGGAGCGUAGACGGCCGCGCAAGUCUGGAGGUAAAUGCCGGGGCCCAACCCCGGAACUGCUUUGGAAACUGGGCAGCUGGAGUGCAGGAGAGGUAAGCGGAAUUCCUAGUGUAGCGGUGAAAUGCGUAGAUAUUAGGAGGAACACCAGUGGCGAAGGCGGCUUACUGGACUGUAACUGACGUUGAGGCUCGAAAGCGUGGGGAGCAAACAGGAUUAGAUACCCGUGUAGUC
rnacentral:rRNA from 1 species